rnacentral:rRNA from 1 species
GAUGAACGCUGGCGGCGUGCCUAAUACAUGCAAGUCGAGCGAACGGACGAGAAGCUUGCUUCUCUGAUGUUAGCGGCGGACGGGUGAGUAACACGUGGAUAACCUACCUAUAAGACUGGGAUAACUUCGGGAAACCGGAGCUAAUACCGGAUAAUAUUUUGAACCGCAUGGUUCAAAAGUGAAAGACGGUCUUGCUGUCACUUAUAGAUGGAUCCGCGCUGCAUUAGCUAGUUGGUAAGGUAACGGCUUACCAAGGCAACGAUGCAUAGCCGACCUGAGAGGGUGAUCGGCCACACUGGAACUGAGACACGGUCCAGACUCCUACGGGAGGCAGCAGUAGGGAAUCUUCCGCAAUGGGCGAAAGCCUGACGGAGCAACGCCGCGUGAGUGAUGAAGGUCUUCGGAUCGUAAAACUCUGUUAUUAGGGAAGAACAUAUGUGUAAGUAACUGUGCACAUCUUGACGGUACCUAAUCAGAAACCCACGGCUAGCUACGUG